GCUACCAGAACAAGAGGGCGAGUCUGUGUCAUCAUCACGUGCUUGUUUCUCUACAUGUUACUGGCGAUCUACUCGAUGCUGUGCUUCAUUUGCAUCGCAAGCUGGGUCAAGAACAAACUGGCAGAAGAAAACUAUAAAAAUGCAGCCAUCACAAAGCUAUUUGAAUUCACAAAUUCACUUCCUAACAAGAACCAGCUGGAAAUAUUCAGGGAAAUCCUCCAGACAGCAGUAGAAGAAGAAGAGAG